CGAACCUUCUUCAAACGCACGCGCUACCGCCAUGAAAGCAGUGAGAUCUAAACGGGAGCCACGCGCCUGUCAUCCCAGAGCAAAGGCCCAAAUCCGCGCGCAUGCGCACUACAUUUAUAAAAUGCGCAGAGAGCUCGAGACUGAUGAGUGCAGAGCGGUGCCUGGGUCGAGGCUCGCGCCGUUGUUCCUUUUAAGAAGAGUAGGUCUGGAGGCCGCACGUCUGUCUAGUUUGAACCGACGUGGCAUCAUUACGAGCAGGGAAAUCAGUGCAGCCAUGCAGCAACUCUCUCACCGCCGCAACGCAUUCCCUAUGGACGGUGCAUGACCUGCCUCCUCCUAAUGUGUUACUAUAUGUUUUUACGUGUGUAUAUAAAAUAAAUGUUUUAUCUUUUAA